UUACUUUAAGUCUUUGGGUAAUGCCGUUAGUAUUCCCUUAGUUAUGCUGGUGCAGCAGCUCUCUGAUGCCAAUCUGAGAGAAACAUUUUGUGAAACGUUCAACGUCUCUGGCGGGGGGGUAGUGAAAAACUACUUGUCAGCAUGGUGCGUAUGCAUUCUGUGCCGUGGACAUCCCGCCAACCCCUUUUUUGACCUACUUUGUAUUUUUGAUGCCUGACAUUUACUGUAUGAAAUAUACAAAACAACUUUUGGCAACGGAUCUCUUGGCUCUCGCAACGAUGAAGAACGCAGCGAAACGCGAUAAGUACUGUGAAUUGCAGAAUUCAGUGAAUCAUCGAAUCUUUGAACGCACAUUGCGCUUCCUGGUAUUCCGGGGAGCAUGCUCGUUUCACAAUCAUUAGAAAACUCACAAUGCCUUGAUGUGUAUGCGCAUGUCAUUGCAGAUGUGGAUAUGAGUGAUUUGUCUUGGCGAAAAGAUAAUCACUUUCAAAAUGAUUGCGUGUGCAUCUCGACUGAUCUACUCAGUUGGUUUUACCCUCAGUGCAACAAAUUUUGUGAUCACUUUCGGUUUACCUGACUGGGCAUUCGAGUGCAUGCCUUCCUCAAUGCACAGGAGCUGAAUGCAAGUUUUGCAUUUUGCUUUUGACAACUUGGUCUGAAAUCGAGCAAGAAAACCCGCUGAACUUAAGCAUAUCAAUA
rnacentral:rRNA from 1 species